UCGGCCGCCUCUCCCAAGUCCCAGCCCUCCCCCGAUUUCGGCCUCUCCCUGUCUCCCACUCGACUCCCAGCCCUCCCAGCCCUUCCGGCGACGACCCCCUUCCGGCGACACCCUAUUUUGAGCUUACAAAUGCUGUGCGAAUUGGAGAUCUGGAGCUGUUUAGGACCGUCGCAGAGAAGUUUUGCUGGCACUUUCUUGAAACUCUUGUGCUUUCAGGAAAGCGUUACCUGUUGCCAUAGUGCUUGGAGUUGCAGGGCUAGCUGGCUUGUAUUUCUACCUCAACAAUGCCUACUAGUGUGAGCAAGGAGCAUCAUGAGGCUCCUCUUUUCUUCAUUCUGAAACUGGUCGAGUCAAUAUUAGUAUUCAUAAUGUACUGUCAUCUGUAACAACAGAAUAAGUUAAUGUACUUAUGUUUCCAAUUUCAAGUUGUGAGGUUUCUGUUAAACAA